CGUGGAAACACUUGUUCUCGUACGAUCACCGAAGUUAAGCAACGUCGAGCCUGGUCAGUACCUAGAUGCGUGAUCGCUUGGGAAUGCUAGGUGCUGUAAG
rnacentral:rRNA from 1 species